rnacentral:rRNA from 1 species
AGGAUGAAUGCUGGCGGCGUGGAUAAGGCAUGCAAGUCAAGGGGACCGCAAGGUAACCGGCAGACGAGGUAGUAAUAUACAGGUACUCACCGAAAAGUCGGGCAUAGCUAGUCGAAAGAUUAGGUAAUUCCCGAUAGUCCCUCCGGGGUAAAGGCGCCUAUUUAUUUAGGUGUGCGCUUUUUGAGAGGCCUGUACAGCAUCAGCUAGUUGGUAAGGUAAUGGCUUACCAAGGCUAUGACGCUUAGGGGAGCUGAGAGGCUGACCCCCACGAUAGCACUGAGACACGGGCUAUACACCUACGGGUGGCUGCAGUCGAGAAUCUUCCACAAUGGACGAAA